UCGAAACCUGCAUAGCAGAACGACCCGCGAACUCGUUUAACAACUCCCGAGGGGCGGGGCAUGCCCUACCCCUUGGGGCCUGAACGUGCCGCUCCCUCUCCCCGUCAAAAGGGCGAGGGACGGCGCAGGAUGGCAAGUACCCAAACACCGGCGCGGGUUGCGCCAAGGACUAUGAAAUUCUACCGCGCCCYGCGGCACCGGGCAACCGGGAUCGCGGGGAAGGCGUGUCGAAAGAUAUAAAAAUGAACGACUCUCGGCAACGGAUAUCUCGGCUCUCGCAUCGAUGAAGAACGUAGCGAAAUGCGAUACUUGGUGUGAAUUGCAGAAUCCCGUGAACCAUCGAGUCUUUGAACGCAAGUUGCGCCCGAAGCCAUCCGGCCGAGGGCACGUCUGCCUGGGCGUCACGCAUCGCGUCGCCCCCUCCCCCUCCACUUCGGAGCGGGGGGAGGGGCGGAGUAUGGCCUCCCGUGCGCCCCCGCGCGCGGCCGGCCUAAACACGGAGCCCGUGGCCGCGAGCGCCGCGACGUUUGGUGGUUGAAUCUCGAGCAUCGCGUCGCGCGCCGUAGCGUACUCGGACAGCUCGAAGGACCCUUAGGCGCGAGCCUACCCUUGCGACCCC
rnacentral:rRNA from 1 species